rnacentral:lncRNA from 1 species
CGCCUAUGGAAAUGUGGACUGGUAAACCAACUGAUUAUUCUCACUUACAUGUGUUUGGAAGUCCUGUGUAUGUUAUGUACAACACCCAAGAAACAUCAAAGUUAGAUCCAAAAUCCAGAAAAUGUAUUUUCUUAGGAUAUGCUAAUGGAGUGAAGGGGUACCGCCUGUGAGAUCCCACUGCCCACAAAGUGAUAAUCAGUAGAGAUGUCAUAUUUGCGGAAGGCAAAAUGUAAGAAAAAGAAAAUGAUAGCAUUUCAAAAGAAAAACCAGAGACUACUACAGUCGAAGUUAGAGACGAACGAGAAGUUAUAGAUACUUUUGAAGCAACACUAGAGCACGAAGAACAAGCUGAAUCUAGUGCUCCAGAUGUUCGACGAUCAACACGGAAGAGAAGAGAACCGGCUUGGCACUCAGAUUAUAUUAUGGCGGGCAAUGUUGCAUACUGCUUACUGACAGAAGAUGGAGAGCCAUCAACUUUCCAUGAGACUAUAAAUAGUCAAGAAGUUUCUCUGUGGAUGGCAGCAAUGCAAGAAGAAAUUGAAGCUCUUCAAAAGAACAAGACAUGGGAUCUUGUUCCACUACCACAAGGAAGGAAGGCCAUUGGAAAUAAAUGGGUCUACAAGAUCAAACGAGAUGGCAAUGACCAAGUGGAGCGGUAUCGUGCGAGACUGGUGGUAAAGGGAUAUGCUCAGAAAGAAG